CGCCUUGGGAACAACGAAGGGCCGCGUUGGCACCGCCAGCGGCUGCGGGCGGCUGCGGGAGGGGGCGCGGCGGGGCGGAGACCAGCGACGUGAGCCGGUCCUCGGGCUCUCCGGAAUCCGAGUGUGCGGGAGGGGCGCGGGUGGUCGCGCAGCAGGCGAUGGCCGGGACCCUCGGCCCCUGAGCGGAAGAGGAGCCCUUCCGUGGGAGCUGGGGCAGCCGGGGCUGCGGCUGGUGAGGCAAGACGCCCCCCCGGGGUGGCGCUGGCUCUGUCACCGGCUCUGUCACCUCGGUUUCUUAUCUGUGGACUGGAGAAAGUAACCUCUCCCCUGCCUGCCUCCCAGGGACAGUUCCAGAAGCCACAGAGUGCGUCCCAGGUAGAGUUAGGCCCUGAGUUUGGGCACCUGAUUCAUACCUGCUGCGCUUUCUCACAGCUUCAAAACCCCCACAACCUUUGGGCUUGGGUUCCUUAAGCCCAAGCUCAACCCUGCCAGGGCAAAGAUGGAAGAGAGCAGGACUCCCGGAGGACUGUGACUGCUGGCAUGGUAUGACAGGCAGCAGAGCACUACAGAUCAGAGCACUGAGGCACAGAGAGGGACCGCCCCACCUCCUCCCCGAGACUUGCUGUCACGGAUCCCAGACCCACUCACCAGUGUCAUCGGAGACGCUAGGCCUCUGGCUGCCAGCAGGGGAGCGGAGAACGUCAUCGCUGUACAUGAGGAAGCUUUCGUAGUCUUCCCCGCACUGGGCGUCCACAAUGGGGAUGUCCGGGAUGAUGGGGACUGCAGGAGGGGGAGGGGUGAACCAGGGCCCCAGCCCUGGCCUCCCAGCUUCCUCUGUCCCGCCUGCCCCCCUCCUCUGCUCCCCGCCCCCACUCACUGGACAUGGGUCGCUUGGGCUGGGUGGCCAGGUUGAUGAUGGCCUCCCGCUCUGGGCCCCAGCCUGCCCCAUUGCGCGCCUUCACCGUGUAGCGGUAUGGCUGGGACUCCCGAAGGUUCUCAAUGAGCAGCGUCCGCUUCUUGGGACUGUCCACCAAUACCUUCUUCAUGGGCCCGAUGGGUCCUGGGGCAGGGAGAGCGCCUCAGACGGGUCAUUCUAGCUUCCUGCCUGGCCUAGCCCCGCUCUGAUGCAGCAGCCCCCCGUGUGGGCUCUUUACUUCCCAGAGAGAGCACAGGAGACAAGCUGGGAGCAAGCAGCUGCGGGAAUCCCGGGUCACGCCAAGCCCUGAGAACCUGGGCAAGACUGGUUUCAAGAAGUGUCACCGACUCUCUGAAGGGCUCAUCCUUAAGUGGCAGAGCGAGGACAAGACUCAAGGUGGCUUCAAUGUCACCUCUAGGAUUGGCGCUGCGAUGGCCCUGUGUCCAGGGCACCUCCACUGGACACAUGUUUUGGCGGUGAAGGCGUAGGUGCCUCGUUGCCCACCGCCAGACCCCAGGUGCUGAGGGCAGAGAUGGCCCAACACCCACCACAGUUGCCAUGGGGUCCUCUUACCCUAACCCACGAGCACCUAGAAGGGUGGACACACAGCCCUGGCAGAAAGGAGAACGUGACCCCCGUAGCUCAGGGCAAGUUCCGGGUUUAGGCCCAGGCCCAACCAAGAAGGGGUCUGCCGUGGGGUGGCUCAGUUGUUAGGUGUCUGCCUUCAGCUUAGGCCCUGAUCCCGGGGUCCUGGGAUCAAGCCUCGCAUCGGGCUCCCGGCUCAAUGGGAAGCCUGCUUCUCCCUCCCCCACUCCCCCUGCUUGUGUUCCCUCUCUCGCUGUGUCUAUCUGUCAAAUAAAUACACAAAAUCUUUAAAAAAAAAGAGAGAGAGAAAAUAAAAAAGAA